GUCAUUUUGGUUAAGUGGGAUAAUUUUUAAUUUCUCAAUGAACGCAGGUUCGAACCCGGUAUGGAAAAAUUAAUUUUUCAAAUGAAAAAAAAAUUUAAAACUAAUUAAGAAAAAAAUUUUUUGUAGACUUUGGUUAAGUGGGAUAAUUUAUUUAGUCAAUGAGGACGCAGGUUCGAUUCCCGCAAGGGAAA
rnacentral:tRNA from 1 species